rnacentral:rRNA from 1 species
GAUGAACGCUGGCGGCGUGCCUAAUACAUGCAAGUCGAGCGAACAGACGAGGAGCUUGCUCCUCUGACGUUAGCGGCGGACGGGUGAGUAACACGUGGAUAACCUACCUAUAAGACUGGGAUAACUUCGGGAAACCGGAGCUAAUACCGGAUAAUAUAUUGAACCGCAUGGUUCAAUAGUGAAAGACGGUUUUGCUGUCACUUAUAGAUGGAUCCGCGCCGCAUUAGCUAGUUGGUAAGGUAACGGCUUACCAAGGCAACGAUGCGUAGCCGACCUGAGAGGGUGAUCGGCCACACUGGAACUGAGACACGGUCCAGACUCCUACGGGAGGCAGCAGUAGGGAAUCUUUCGCAAUGGGCGAAAGCUUGACGGAGCAACGCCGCGUGAGUGAUGAAGGUCUUCGGAUCGUAAAACUCUGUUAUUAGGGAAGAACAAAUGUGUAAGUAACUAUGCACGUCUUGACGGUACCUAAUCAGAAAGCCACGGCUAACUACGUG